rnacentral:rRNA from 1 species
UCGAACGGCAGCACGGGUGUUSCUGGKGGCGAGUGGCGAACGGGUGAGUAAUACAUCGGAACAUGUCCUGUAGUGGGGGAUAGCCCGGCGAAAGUGUAAUACRGCAUACGAUCUACCGUGAAAGCGGGGGACUUCGCMCUCGCGCUAUAUGGWUGCCGAUGGUGAUUAGCUAGUUGGGGGGWAAAGGCUUCCAAGGGACGAUCAGUAGCUGUCUGAGAGGCGACCAGCCCCWUGGGGCUGUGACRSGCCCAGACUCCUCGGGGGGAGCAGUGGGGGAUUUUGGACAAUGGGCGAAACCGWUUCYCCAAWCCGCGUCUUURAAGAGGCUUUCGGGGUUUAAAAAUUUUUUUCGGRAAAAAACCUUU